rnacentral:rRNA from 1 species
GUGCUUUUCUAGAGAACAAAUGACGAGCUUGUUCCUCUGACGGUGGCAUGAGGAGGAUUAGAUACCCUGGUAUACCCCACCUAUAAUAAUGGGUUAUCUUCGGGAAGCCGGAUCUACCCCUGGAUGACGUGUUGAACCCUUUGGUUCUCCGUGAGGGACGGUCUUGCUGUCUUUUAAAAAUGGAUCCGCUCCACAUUACCUUUUUGGAAACGUAACAGCUUACCAGGGCAACGAUGCGUACCCGACCUGAGAGGGUGAUCGGCCACACUGGAACUGAGACACGGUCCAGACUCCUACGGGAGGCAGCAGUAGGGAAUCUUCCGCAGUGGGCGAAAGCCUGACGGAGCAACCCCGCGUGAGUGAAAAAGGUCUUCAGAUCGUAAAACUCUGUUAUUAGGGAAAAACAAGUGUGUAAGUAACUAUGCACGUCUUGACGGUACCUAAUCAGAAAGCCACGGCUAACUACGUGCCAGCAGCCGCGGUAAUACGUAUGUGGCAAGCGUUAUCCGGAAUUAUUGGGCGUAAAGCGCGCGUAGGCGGUUUUUUAAGUCUGAUGUGAAAGCCCACGGCUCAACCGUGGAGGGUCGUUGGAAACUGGAAAACUUGAGUGCAAAAAAAGAAAGUGGAAUUCCGUGUGUAGCGGUGAAAUGCGCAAUAUAUGGAGGAACACCAGUGGCGAAGGCGACUUUCUGGUCUGUAACUGAC